GUGCUCACUUUAGCAGCACAUAUACUAAAAUUGAAACAAUGCAGAGAAGAUUAGUAUGGCCCCUCACAAGAAGACAUGCAAAUUCAUGAAGCAAGUCCUGCUCCA